rnacentral:rRNA from 1 species
UACAGAGGGUGCAAGCGUUGUUCGGAAUCACUGGGCGUAAAGGGUGCGUAGGCGGCGUGGUAAGUCAGAUGUGAAAUCCCGGGGCUCAACCCCGGAACUGCAUCCGAUACUGCCAUGCUUGAGUACUGGAGAGGUGACUGGAAUUCUCGGUGUAGCAGUGAAAUGCGUAGAGAUCGAGAGGAACACUCGUGGCGAAAGCGAGUCUCUGGACAGUAUCUGACGCUGAUGCACGAAGGCUAGGGGAGCGAAAGGG